rnacentral:snRNA from 1 species
AGAAAAGAAUCUAAAGAGUGUU